rnacentral:rRNA from 1 species
UACAGAGGUCUCGAGCGUUGUUCGGAUUCAUUGGGCGUAAAGGGCGCGUAGGCGGCGGGGUAAGUCUGGUGUGAAAUCUAGGAGCUCAACUCCUAAACUGCACUGGAUACUGCUCUGCUGGAGGACUGGAGAGGAGACUGGAAUUUACGGUGUAGCAGUGAAAUGCGUAGAUAUCGUAAGGAAGACCAGUGGCGAAGGCGAGUCUCUGGACAGCAACUGACGCUGAGGCACGAAGGCCAGGGGAGCAAACAGG